GUUAUCCCCCUAAAGAAAACCUAAAAUUCUCCCAAGAAAACACGCGCAGCGGCGGCGACCUCCAGGCUUCGUCGCCGGCGACGCCCAAGGCUUCGCCACUGUCGGCUUUUGCUACGAAGGGUUUGGCGGCGGAAAGAAAGGCAGAGCAGCUCGGUGGCGGCGGCUUGAAGUCGGCGACGGCCUUCUUCUUCCAGGCUUUGCGGCGGAAAGAAACUGGGAGCAGCCCGGCGGCGGCGGCUGCAGCGUCAAGGAUUAGUUUCGGACGACAUCUGGAAAUCAGCCUUCUUCUUCUUUGGCAGCCUGAAGGCUUUGUUUCAGGCGACAUCGGGCUUAUUUGGCAGGAUCAAGGCUUUGUUUCAGGCGACUUCCCCCUUCUUCUUUGGCAGCCUCAAGAUCGGCCUUCUUCUUUGACAGCAUCAAGGUUUCGUUUCAGACGAUCGGCCUUUUUCUUUGGUGUGCUUUUCUUCUUCCUGCUCACUUGUUUGUUCUUGUUUUGAUGUCGUUUGGAAUUUGCGUUGCAGGACU